rnacentral:rRNA from 1 species
AGCAGCUUGCUGCUUCGCUGACGAGUGGCGGACGGUGAGUAAUGUCUGGGAAACUGCCUGAUGGAGGGGGAUAACUACUGGAAACGGUAGCUAAUACCGCAUAACGUCGCAAGACCAAAGAGGGGGACCUUCGGGCCUCUUGCCAUCGGAUGUGCCCAGAUGGGAUUAGCUAGUAGGUGGGGUAACGCUCACCUAGGCGACGAUCCCUAGCUGGUCUGAGAGGAUGACCAGCCACACUGAACUGAGACACGGUCCAACUCCUACGGGAGGCACAGUGGGGAAUAUUGCACAAUGGGCGCAAGCCUGAUGCAGCCAUGCCGCGUGUAUGAAGAAGGCCUUCGGGUUGUAAAGUACUUUCAGCGGGGAGGAAGGGAGUAAA